UUUGGCCAAAAGUAUUUUUUUAGCCAAAAGCACUUUUGACCAAAAAUUGAGUUGUUUGGCCAAGCUUUUGGAAGGAAAAAAGUGCUUUUGAGGAGAAGCAUAAGCAAGUUUCGAAGAAGCAGCUUAUCUCCAAAAGCAUUUUUUUGAGAAGCACUUUGAGAAAAAUACACUUAGAAGCAGUUUUUUACAACUUGGCCAAACACUAAUUGCUGCUCGGAAGUACUUUUCAAUCUAAGUAUCCAAACACAAACUGUUUUCACCAAAAUUACUUUUGACAAAAAGCACUUCUCAAAAUAAGUUGAUUUUUACAGCUUGGCCAAACGGGCUAGCAGAGAUGUUGACAAAUAUAAUCAACCAAUCAAUCAACUACCCUCAGCCCUAAACUAUGAAUAAACUGUGUUGAGUUCCAAAGUUUCACAUAGAAUAAGAAUAAAAAUGUCAAUUUUAUUCUUAUCAAGUCAAAAAGCAAUUAGCAUUUAGGGUAGACACCGGGUAAACAGUGGCGAAGCUAGGAAUUUUGCUAAAAAAGUAAAAAAAUUCAGACAAAGGGUGUUUAAUUUUUAUUAUAUACCUCUAAAAUGCAAUAUUUUAUAUAUAUACACCUUGUAAUUUUUUGACAAAGGGUGGACAAUUCCCCUUAUGCCCAUGUGGCGAAGGCUUCUCCACUGCGUGUGAAUGCGGGAUUCCUUGCAUCGGACUAGUUUAAGUCAAAAAGCAAUUAGCAUAUAAAGACCUUAGCAGAACAAAAACUGGUAGAAAGAAACAAAACACCAAAAAGACCUAUUCCUGAGUAAUUUACUAACUAUAACAAACGAGAUUGAUAAUGAAGAAUUUGAGGUCCUAUUUACUCUUCCCUAAUCAACAAAUUCAAGACCAGAAAACAUUUAAGCAUAAUUAAACAAAAAACGAAAAGGGUAAUCAGCAGACUUUACCUCAAAGCUGUUUAAAUCUUAUCCCUUUUUAUAUGGAAUUCUUUCACCGGCUGCAAUUUUGCUGACAAAGGAUGUCUUUAUCCUCUUCUCUUCAACCCCCUAAUUCAAGAAUUGCUUAUUU
rnacentral:lncRNA from 1 species